UGGUCACAGGAAACGAUGCUUUGAGGCACAACUCUGGAACCCACAACCCAAAGCACCACCAUCUGCUAGCUGCUGUAGCGAAUUCUUGUGCUUUGAGAUUGGGUCACGCAGAGCUGCAAGAUCUGGGUCUUUGGCCUGGACCACAGACAGUGCUUCACUUGUAGUGGUGCCAAUUUGCUUUCUUGCCUGCAAUUAUCGUUGUACUGGUGUUGAUUUGCAAGUGGGAGCAGGGAAGAGGAGGCACCAGCUUUGGGCAUUUCCUACCUUUGGGAGCAAUGGAUGAUUGCGAGAGUCACGAGAUAUGUUAUCGUACUGCCGCAGUAGCCGCUCCAAGUUUACGUGUGGUGGCCGUCGUCUCACCGUGAUCCUCCACACCAUUCACGUCCUGGUUUUGCUGUGGAGUACUGCUUCAAGCUUUCAACCUCGCAGCUGCCACUUGUGAUCACUCCUUUCGCCAACACGUACGCUUCGGUGGGGAGCUUGACCGAUGUCACGGAUCUGCAUCCCUGUUAGCUUCGUCCAUAGCUGGAGUGGUAGAUCGAGUCUGCAAAAGAACUCGCAGGUGGUGGAUUAGGUUUCGUUUGCUUGUUUGGUCGGACUGGGACACCGAGGUUGUAGUCCAAGCUCAAGGGACAACAGCAGAAGCAGGCCUUGAACAAGGGCCGAGCUCAUCAUUUGGGCUUUCCACUUUCUGGAUUAAUGAGUCUGGAUGUGAUGAAAGGAGUACCACCUUCCCAUUUACUCCCCUCUUACAAGCUCUGAACAGUACGGCAGAUGGAGAGAGAGAGAGAGCGCGUAAUCAUGCAGAGGACUCCCACCAGCAGCAGCAGCAUGAUAAAGAAGCUACCGAGUCAUAAUUUAAGAUAGACCGAGGAGGAGGAGAAGCUGGCGGAAGCAGGAGAGGCUGUAAUGGCCAAGGAGGAAGAGAGCUUGCCUUGCCGAUCCUUCGGCCGGCGGUGUCGGCUGCAGGCCAAAGAGCAGAAGGCCAGGUUCUACAUACUUCGGCGAUGCAUCAUGAUGCUGAUGUGCUGGAGAGAGCGCGGAGAAACUCGAUAGUCUAUGUACUGCUUGAUCUGUGCACCAGCUUUGCUCACAUGACAUGCAGGUCCUCACAUAAACAUAUUGGACAUAUAUAUCUCUAUACAUCAUGAGACAAUGUUAGUGUAUUCAUCUUUUCUUGUGACUUGCCAUGCGUGUCUUGCUUAGUAUUAGUAUUUCGCUCAUCAUCCUUGUUUCUUUUUGA